GACGAACGCUGGCGGCGUGCUUAACACAUGCAAGUCGAACGAAGAGCGAUGGAAGCUUGCUUCUAUCAAUCUUAGUGGCGAACGGGUGAGUAACGCGUAAUCAACCUGCCCUUCAGAGGGGGACAACAGUUGGAAACGACUGCUAAUACCGCAUACGAUCUAAUCUCGGCAUCGAGGAUAGAUGAAAGGUGGCCUCUACAUGUAAGCUAUCACUGAAGGAGGGGAUUGCGUCUGAUUAGCUAGUGGGAGGGGUAACGGCCCACCAAGGCGAUGAUCAGUAGCCGGUCUGAGAGGAUGACCGGCCACAUUGGGACUGAGACACGGCCCAGACUCCUACGGGAGGCAGCAGGGGGGAAUCUUCCGCAAUGGACGAAAGUCUGACGGAGCAACGCCGCGUGAGUGAUGACGGCCUUCGGGUUGUAAAGCUCUGUUAAUCGGGACGAAAGGCCUUCUUGCGAAUAGUGAGAAGGAUUGACGGUACCGGAAUAGAAAGCCACGGCUAACUACGUG
rnacentral:rRNA from 1 species